rnacentral:rRNA from 1 species
CUAUGUAUUCAGCUAGGGGGGGACGGAGAAGGUUAGGUCAUCCAGCAGUUGGCAACCGCAAGGUGAUGCUGGUUCAAGCGUGUAGUCGUGCCUGGCAGGCAAAUCCACCGGGCUAAGAUGAGGCGUGAUGACGAGCGGUCUUGUACCGCGAAGUGAUUGACACCCUGCUUCCAAGAAAAGCCUCUAAGCUUCAGUUACAUGGAGACCGUACCGCAAACCGACACAGGUGGGCAGGAUGAGAAUUCUAAGGCGCUUGAGAGAACUCAGGAGAAGGAACUCGGCAAAUUAGCACCGUAACUUCGGGAAAAGGUGCGCCCUGGUAGAUUGAAAUCCCUUGCGGAUGGAGGUCGAAAGGGUUGCAGUGAAAAGGUGGCUGCGACUGUUUAAUAAAAACACAGCACUCUGCAAACACGAAAGUGGACGUAUAGGGUGUGACGCCUGCCCGGUGCCGGAAGGUUAAGGGGAGCGGUUCGAGAGUGCUUGCACUCUCAAAGCUGUGAACUGAAGCCCCGGUAAACGGCGGCCGUAACUAUAACGGUCCUAAGGUAGCGAAAUUCCUUGUCGGGUAAGUUCCGACCUGCACGAAUGGCGUAACGAUGGCCACACUGUCUCCUCCUGAGACUCAGCGAAGUUGAAAUGUUUGUGAAGAUGCAAUCUCCCCGCGGCUAGACGGAAAGACCCCAUGAACCUUUACUGUAGCUUUGCAUUGGACUUUGAACCGGUCUGUGUAGGAUAGGUGGGAGGCUUUGAAGCUGGGACGUUAGUUCCAGUGGAGCCAACCUUGAAAUACCACCCUGAUUUGUUUGAGGUUCUAACCUUGGCCCGUGAAUCCGGGUCGGGGACCGUGCAUGGUAGGCAGUUUGACUGGGGCGGUCUCCUCCCAAAGUGUAACGGAGGAGUACGAAGGUACGCUAAGUACGGUCGGACAUCGUGCUCAUAGUGCAAUGGCAAAAGCGUGCUUGACUGCGAGACAGACAAGUCGAGCAGGUACGAAAGUAGGUCAUAGUGAUCCGGUGGUUCUGAAUGGAAGGGCCAUCGCUCAACGGAUAAAAGGUACUCUGGGGAUAACAGGCUGAUACCGCCCAAGAGUUCAUAUCGACGGCGGUGUUUGGCACCUCGAUGUCGGCUCAUCACAUCCUGGGGCUGUAGCCGGUCCCAAGGGUAUGGCUGUUCGCCAUUUAAAGUGGUACGUGAGCUGGGUUUAAAACGUCGUGAGACAGUUUGGUCCCUAUCUGCCGUGGGCGCUGGAAAUUUGAGAGGGGCUGCUCCUAGUACGAGAGGACCGGAGUGGACAGACCUCUGGUGUACCGGUUAUGACGCCAGUCGUAUCGCCGGGUAGCUAAGUCUGGAAGAGAUAAACGCUGAAAGCAUCUAAGCGUGAAACUCGCCUCAAGAUAAGAUUUCCCUGGGGAUUCAAUCCCCCUGAAGGGUCGUCGAAGACCACGACGUUGAUAGGUCGGGUGUGGAAGCGCAGUAAUGCGUUAAGCUAACCGAUACUAAUUGCCCGUGCGGCUUGAUCC